AGUGAACGCUGGCGGCAGGCCUAACACAUGCAAGUCGAACGGCAGCACAGUAAGAUUUUGCUCUUACGGGUGGCGAGUGGCGGGCGGGUGAGGAAUACAUCGGAAUCUUCUUUUUCGUGGAGGAUAACGUAAGGAAACUUACGCUAAUACCGCAUACGAUCUACGGGUGAAAGCAGGGGAUCUUCGCACCUUGCGCGACUGAAUGAGCCGAUGUCGGAUUAGCUAGUUGGCGGGGUAAAGGCCCACCAAGGCGACGAUCCGUAGCUGGUCUGAGAGGAUGAUCAGCCACACUGGAACUGAGACACGGUCCAGACUCCUACGGGAGGCAGCAGUAGGGAAUAUUGGGCAAUGGGCGCAAGCCUGAUCCAGCCAUGCCGCGUGAGUGAAGAAGGCCUUCGGGUUGUAAAGCCCUGUUGUUGGGGAAGAAAAUCAGCAGGUUUAUACCCCGCUGUUCUGACGGUACCCAAAGAAAAAGCAACGGCUAACUUCGUG
rnacentral:rRNA from 1 species